rnacentral:lncRNA from 1 species
AUUUGCGAAUGAGUAUUCAGUGUGUGUUUUUAUUUUUCUAUGUCGUGUGAGAGUGUUUUGUUUGCUAUGGAGAAGUGAAGAGUGAGUUCAUGACUCGGAGAGUGUGACUCAGUGGUUAUGCUGGUGGAGAAGAAAAGGAGACGCGUAUGGGAAAGUGAAAAGCGAAGCGGAUAGUGCUGCGUGGAUAAAGGAAGAGUUAGUAAGCCGUUGGUCUUAUAUUCUUUUCUUCGAAAUUGGCCCCGGGACUUUCGUAAAUUACAAGAAUGCUACUGUCACUGCCACAUCA